UGAGGAAUAUUGGUCAAUGGGCGAGAGCCUGAACCAGCCAAGUAGCGUGCAGGAUGACGGCCCUAUGGGUUGUAAACUGCUUUUAUAUGGGAAUAAAGUGAGGGACGUGUCCCUUAUUGCAUGUACCAUACGAAUAAGGACCGGCUAAUUCCGUGCCAGCAGCCGCGGUAAUACGGAAGGUCCAGGCGUUAUCCGGAUUUAUUGGGUUUAAAGGGAGCGUAGGCUGUUUGUUAAGCGUGUUGUGAAAUGUAAGAGCUCAAAUUUUAGAUUGCAGCGCGAACUGGCAGACUUGAGUGCGCACAACGUAGGCGGAAUUCAUGGUGUAGCGGUGAAAUGCUUAGAUAUCAUGACGAACUCCGAUUGCGAAGGCAGCUUACGGGAGCGCAACUGACGCUAAAGCUCGAAGGUGCGGGUAUCGAACAGG
rnacentral:rRNA from 1 species